CCUACGGGUGGCAGCAGUGAGGAAUAUUGGUCAAUGGACGAGAGUCUGAACCAGCCAAGUAGCGUGAAGGAUGACUGCCCUAUGGGUUGUAAACUUCUUUUAUAUGGGAAUAAAAUGUUCCACGUGUGGGAUUUUGUAUGUACCAUAUGAAUAAGGAUCGGCUAACUCCGUGCCAGCAGCCGCGGUAAUACGGAGGAUCCGAGCGUUAUCCGGAUUUAUUGGGUUUAAAGGGAGCGUAGGUGGAUUGUUAAGUCAGUUGUGAAAGUUUGCGGCUCAACCGUAAAAUUGCAGUUGAAACUGGCAGUCUUGAGUACAGUAGAGGUGGGCGGAAUCCGUGGUGUAGCGGUGAAAUGCUUAGAUAUCACGAAGAACUCCGAUUGCGAAGGCAGUUCACUGGACUGUAACUGACACUGAGGCUCGAAAGUGUGGGUAUCAAACAGGAUUAGAUACCCCUGUAGUC
rnacentral:rRNA from 1 species